GUGCUUGCUUUGGCGGCACAUAUACAAAAAUUGGAAUAAUACAGAGAAAAUUACUGUGACUCCUUUAUAAGAUGACAUGCAAAUUUUGAAGUGUUCCAUAUUUUC
rnacentral:snRNA from 1 species